rnacentral:lncRNA from 1 species
GGAGCAACGAGAGGCUUUAUUGUCAGCUCGGAGCGAUGGGAGGGUGCCGGGCUGGGGGCUGGGGAAACAACAGGGCUCGCAACCGCCCCCCCCCGGGGCAAAGCGUUUCGUAAAAUCGGAGCUUAAAAACACCGUUAUUUUACAGACAGAACCCCAAAUCCAGGUCCCCAUUGUACUGAAGAAACCGCUGCAGCGAACGUGAUCCCUUAUCCCGGUGGUGGCAGAGAGGAGGAAGCACCGCCCGACGGGGAGGCAGCGCUCAGCCCACGGAGGCCAUGAUCACAUCCACCGGGAGCUCCUCCGCGCUGCGGGCCGUGACCUGCAUCGUCACCGUGUCGGUCAGCAGCAGGCGAGCCCGCAGCAGCACGUCGUGGCCGCCCCGGAACACACCUGCCAGGUACAGAGUGUGGGAGUUCUUGUUGUCUGGCACUUUAUCCGAUCGCUCGCAGGGCUGCAUCCCCAGGAACUUCACGAUAUUGCUAACCGCCUCUUCAAGGGUUUUAAUUGCAGAUAAAGUAAAGGUUUCUUCCUUCUCGUACUCAUCACCCACUUCAUCCCAGGCAGCUCCAAAGUUGGGCUUCAGAACUCGCUGGAUGUGAUCAGCCACUGUUACCUCAAGAUCUUCAAGCACAUAUUCAUCCUCGUAACCCUCGUCGUCUGUCUCACCCGUGUUUGGAUCACAGUCCUUGACAGUAAAUUUCAUCAUGCAGCUGAACGUGCAGGCCACUGCAGGCAGGGGAGGCAAAGGCAAAGCUCACGUUACCACCAGAUCCACUCCUCUGCAGGAGAAUGGGGCUAGGAAACUUGGGGCAGGUGGGUUCUCCCCCUCCCAGUCAGCAGCACAGGCUGAGCACGUGACCUAGAAAGCGUGCUGACAGCUCCUCUCUCUCAAGGACAAAGUACUUAUUUGUAACACUAAGGCCAGCAAUCAGUGAUAAAUGCAGACUCCCAACGGUUGCACCGUAAUCUUCAGAUCAAGUCCUGCUACUGAC